UGAAGGAAGCUCAGCCUGUCUUGAUAUGAAAGGGACAGUGUCCAGAGAUGAAGCUGGACACCAGGCAGGUCGGCCUCAGAGUCCUUCGUAAGUCAGCUUUUCCACUGGGCCUGGCCCAGGCCCUGCUCACCCAGUAUGGAUGGCCUGGUUGUCAAAGUCUGCACAGGAGAGAAGAGUUCCAGAAGGAAGAAGGUUAAACAUCCAAAGACUACGGGCAACCCUGGCCCCCUUUGCUGGUGGGGGUCUGUCGGGAGCUCUGCUGACUUCUGUUUCAGUGACCAGUGGAGAAGAGCGGCCCCGAUGAUGAGGAGAAACGGGAGCAGAAUCAACCAUCCGGAUCAUUCGCAUACUAGAUACCUGGACUACGAAGAGAUGACAUACACAAAACAGCAAAUCCUACAACACAGUGAAUGAGAUCACGGGUUCUUCAAAGGGGUUCUGCGUUCUGUUUGGGGGAAGAACUGACUCCAUCAUGAGUUUGGGAGACGGACUGGGACAAAGUUGUGGUGCACCCAGUCUCCUAUAGAGAGACCUUUGGCCGUGAGGAAGAGUGCAGUGGUCGGUUGCCCCAGUAAAC